UGGUGGGAUUCCCUGAGGAUCCCCCUCCCAGCCGGAUCCUGCCGGGCCCCGAGCUGGAAUAUUACAUCCAGAGAUUCCGGAAAUCCGGCUUCAGGGGACCCCUGAACUGGUACCGGAACAUCCGAACCAACUGGAACUGGGCCCUCUCCGCCAGGGACAGGAAGAUCCCGCUGCCGGCUCUGAUGGUGACGGCCGGGAAGGACCCGGUGCUGCUUCCCAGCCUCAGCAAGGGCAUGGAAAACUGGGUAAGCCCGGCAAUUCCCGACCCUCAGCCCACCAGGGAUCCCAAAGGAAAAGCCGGGAAUGCCGGGAUCCGACCCCGACCCUCCCCCUUCCCUCUUUCCCCCCCUCCCUCUUCCCAAGAUCCCGCGGCUGCGCCGGGAGCACCUGGAGGAAUGCGGGCACUGGACGCAGAUGGAAAGGCCGGCGGAGGUGAACAGGAUCCUGCUGGAGUGGCUGGAAGGGCUCCCGCCGGACGUCCCUUUUCCCGGGAAUUCCCGGCUGUGAACGGGAGCCUUUCCCGCCUUUCCCUUCCCUUCCCUCCAUCCCCUUCUCCUGGGAAUUCCCGACUGUGAACAGGAGCCUUUCCCACCUUUCCCUUCCCUCCAUCCCCUUCUCCCGGGGCCCAGGGCUUGGAAUUCCCAUUGGAAUUGUCCCUUUGCCCUUGGAAUUGUCCCUUUGCCCUUGGAAUUGUCCCUUUGCCCUUGGAAUUGUCCCUUUGCCCUUGGAAUUGUGCCUUUGCCCUUGGAAUCGUGCCUUUGCCGCUGGAAUUUUUUCCUUUCGGGGGCGGAAUUUUUCAUCUCCGGGCUUUGAUUUUCCCGCCCUGGAGCCAAAAUUUUUGGGAAUCUUUGGGAAUCUUUGGGUUGGGAAUACAAGCCGAUGGAUGAGCCGGAGGCGGGAAGAGCUCCAAGCACCUCCCUGGAAAAGGGGAGGGGGGGGUUUUGUGGGAAUUUGGGGCUGGAUCCAUCCCUUGGAGCUUCCCCAGAUCCCUGAUCCCAUCCCGGGGCUUUUCCCUGGGCUUUGAAUGAGCCGAGAAUUAAUUAGUGAUCGAUACUUAAUGAUUAAUAAUCGAUGAUUAAUGAUUGGUAAUUAACAGUCGGUAAUUAGCGCUGCCUUAAACCUUCGGGAAAUAAAGCCAGAAGUAUUCCAGAGCUUCCGGUCUUC
rnacentral:lncRNA from 1 species